UCAGUUAUGAUUGACAGCACUGGAGGAGGAGAUUGUUUUAAUUAUUGUGACUAAGGAAUAAACUUAGCUUCUAGAGAAGGAGGAGGAGUUUCAGUUUUAAUUGAUAUGAUAAGAGAAACAGCCUCAUGAUUGGCAGCCUUGGAGGAGGAAGACCGGAUUUUAGCUUUAAUGUAUGUGAUUAGAGGAGGAGCUUUAGUUGUGAUUGACAGCCCUAAAGGAGGAGACUGACUUUUAUUUAAUGUGACAAUAGGUGAAGCUUCAGUUAUGAUAGACUUCAUGGAGGGGGAGUUUCAGUUUUAAUUGAGGUGAUAAGAGAAAGAGCCUCAUGAUUGGCAGAAGACUGAAUUUCAGCUUUAAUUUAUGUGAUUAAAGGAGGAGCUUCAGUUGUGAUUGGCAGCCCUAAAAGAGGAGACUGACUUUGAUUUAAUCCGACAAGAGGUGGAGCUUCAGUUAUGAU